rnacentral:rRNA from 1 species
CAGUGGAUGUCUAGGCUCGCACAUCGAUGAAGAACGCUGCGAACUGCGAUACGUAAUGCGAAUUGCAUGAUUCAGUGAGUCAUCGAAAUUUUGAACGCAUAUUGCACUUCCGGGUUAGUCCUGGAAGUAUGCCUGUAUCAGUGUCC